AUGUUCGAAAACUGAGAGGGAGGUAACAAAUGGAACAACAAACACAAAUUUAACGUGAACAAGUGUUCUUAACAUAUACAGUCGGUGCAGAUAUUGUUAUUUUAGGGGAAUCAGUUUUGUAAAAGGAUCUAGAAAAGCUCGUCUUGGCAACAUUUGGAGGUUUUCCGUGGAAUUGCUGGCCCUGGAAAAAUUUGCCUUGGAAAAAGCUCGCUGGGGAGAGAAAUAUUAUUAAAUAAAAUAAAGGAAGGCGAUUUAUUUUAUCAAUUAAUGGAAAUUGCCAUCAGAGUUUUUUGAAAUCGCCCCAUCACUAGUGUAUGUGCUCAUAUAGACGGCGCUAUGAAAAUUAUUCUCAGAACAAGCUACUGACUGUCACACUCCCUUGCGGAUAAUAUUAUUAUGGUUCAAGUACAAUUGGCCGAAAAAAAAAUUUCAAAAGAAAAUUCGCCGAAGUUAUAUUUCGGCGAUUUACAUUUUGCCGAAUGGAACUUUCCAAAAUACCAAGAGCUUGUUGGAAAUACGAAUUAUGGGAUUCAAAUUAAUGAAACACAUGAAGACUAAAAGACAAGCUAACAACUGAUUGUAAAAACUGUUCCUAUUAUUUUUUAUAAAUAUAUUCCAAAAGUAUGCGCUUAUUUUGAGGGAAGGAGUAACCCUUCUCUCACUCAUUUUCUACUUCUUCCCUCGCUUUUUCUUUACUUGACUAAUAAAAAGGGACGACACGGAAUUAC
rnacentral:lncRNA from 1 species